rnacentral:rRNA from 2 species
UGCAAGUCGAACGCGUUGGCCCAAUUGAUUGAUGGUGCUUGCACCUGAUUGAUUUUGGUCGCCAACGAGUGGCGGACGGGUGAGUAACACGUAGGUAACCUGCCCAGAAGCGGGGGACAACAUUUGGAAACAGAUGCUAAUACCGCAUAACAGCGUUGUUCGCAUGAACAACGCUUAAAAGAUGGCUUCUCGCUAUCACUUCUGGAUGGACCUGCGGUGCAUUAGCUUGUUGGUGGGGUAACGGCCUACCAAGGCGAUGAUGCAUAGCCGAGUUGAGAGACUGAUCGGCCACAAUGGGACUGAGACACGGCCCAUACUCCUACGGGAGGCAGCAGUAGGGAAUCUUCCACAAUGGGCGCAAGCCUGAUGGAGCAACACCGCGUGAGUGAAGAAGGGUUUCGGCUCGUAAAGCUCUGUUGUUAAAGAAGAACACGUAUGAGAGUAACUGUUCAUACGUUGACGGUAUUUAACCAGAAAGUCACGGCUAACUACGUGCCAGCAGCCGCGGUAAUACGUAGGUGGCAAGCGUUAUCCGGAUUUAUUGGGCGUAAAGAGAGUGCAGGCGGUUUUCUAAGUCUGAUGUGAAAGCCUUCGGCUUAACCGGAGAAGUGCAUCGGAAACUGGAUAACUUGAGUGCAGAAGAGGGUAGUGGAACUCCAUGUGUAGCGGUGGAAUGCGUAGAUAUAUGGAAGAACACCAGUGGCGAAGGCGGCUACCUGGUCUGCAACUGACGCUGAGACUCGAAAGCAUGGGUAGCGAACAGGAUUAGAUACCCUGGUAGUCCAUGCCGUAAACGAUGAGUGCUAGGUGUUGGAGGGUUUCCGCCCUUCAGUGCCGGAGCUAACGCAUUAAGCACUCCGCCUGGGGAGUACGACCGCAAGGUUGAAACUCAAAGGAAUUGACGGGGGCCCGCACAAGCGGUGGAGCAUGUGGUUUAAUUCGAAGCUACGCGAAGAACCUUACCAGGUCUUGACAUCUUGCGCCAACCCUAGAGAUAGGGCGUUUCCUUCGGGAACGCAAUGACAGGUGGUGCAUGGUCGUCGUCAGCUCGUGUCGUGAGAUGUUGGGUUAAGUCCCGCAACGAGCGCAACCCUUGUUACUAGUUGCCAGCAUUAAGUUGGGCACUCUAGUGAGACUGCCGGUGACAAACCGGAGGAAGGUGGGGACGACGUCAGAUCAUCAUGCCCCUUAUGACCUGGGCUACACACGUGCUACAAUGGACGGUACAACGAGUCGCGAACUCGCGAGGGCAAGCAAAUCUCUUAAAACCGUUCUCAGUUCGGACUGCAGGCUGCAACUCGCCUGCACGAAGUCGGAAUCGCUAGUAAUCGCGGAUCAGCAUGCCGCGGUGAAUACGUUCCCGGGCCUUGUACACACCGCCCGUCACACCAUGAGAGUUUGUAACACCCAAAGUCGGUGGGGUAACCUUUUAGGAGCCAGCCGCCUAAGGUGGGACAGAUGAUUAGGG